UAUGGUGGCCGAAAUAAUCCAUUACAACCUCAUAGCUCUCUGUUAUAUAAUAAGUAAUACUAGUUGAUUUGAAGACUUUUCUAUAUAUAAGUAUGGAAUCAAUCUCAGUAGUGAUUGUUACUUUCCUCUCUAUAAAAAGUGGAUGUGGUGCCAAACAUAGACAUAGCCUAUGUACAUGGCCUCAUGGCCCGUCCCCACCAACCCGUGGCCUCGAGUGUGGCACUCGCUUCCCAUUGAAUUUGUUCUGGACACGUUAUCGUGUUGAGCAAGGGAUUGUGGGUGCUCGCCAUUUUGUAGAGGUGUUCGAAUUCUCAGUGGUUAAUUUCAUUCACUUUAUAGUGAACAAUGAAGUACCCCAAAUUUGAGUGAACAGUGUCAGCAUGGGGUUCAGCAAAUAACCUCCAACUAAACACAUCAAAAACUAAGGAAAUCAUCAUAGACUUCAGACGACACAGCCCAGCCCAUGCCCCCCUGCACAUCAACGGGGAUUGCGUGGAGAGGGUUCUAUCCUGCAAGUUCCUGGGAACAUGCAUCUCUCAGGAGCUUUCUUGGUCCACGAACACAACAGCAAUAAAAAAGAAGGCAGAGGAGCGACUACACUUUCUGAGAAUUCUCAGAAAAAAACAUCUUUGACAAAAGCUGCUGGUGUCCUUCUACCGGUCAACCAUUGAAAGUGUGCUCACUUACUGCAUCACAGCAUGGUAUGCUGGGAUUUUUGCGGCAGACAGCACGGCACUUCAGAGGGUCAUAGGCACAGCUCAGAAGAUCACAGGCUGCCCACUGCCCUCCCUGGAAGAGCUGGCCAGCUUCCGCUGCCGAAACAGGACCAGAUCCAUUCUAAAAGACGCUGCGCACCCUGCUCACCAUCUGUUCGAUCUGCUUCCCUCUGGCAGGCGAUACAGGUCAAUGAAAUCACGCACCACCAGACUAACCAACAGCUUCUUCCCCUGGGCCAUAUGUACACUAAACAAACAAAAAACCCUGUGCAAUACAUAAAUAACCACAUGAACAAUCA